rnacentral:rRNA from 1 species
AGUGAACGCUGGCGGUAGGCCUAACACAUGCAAGUCGAACGGCAGCACAGUAAGAGCUUGCUCUUACGGGUGGCGAGUGGCGGACGGGUGAGGAAUACAUCGGAAUCUACUUUUUCGUGGGGGAUAACGUAGGGAAACUUACGCUAAUACCGCAUACGACCUACGGGUGAAAGCAGGGGAUCUUCGGACCUUGCGCGAUUGAAUGAGCCGAUGGCGGAUUAGCUAGGUGGCGGGGUAAAGGCCCACCAAGGCGACGAUCGGUAGCCGGCCUGAGAGGAUGAACGGCCACAGUGGGACUGAGAUACGGCCCAGACUCCGACGGGAGGCAGCAGUGGGGAAUAUUGCACAAUGGGCGGAAGCCUGAUGCAGCGACGCCGCGUGGGGGAUGACGGCCGUCGGGUUGUAAACUCCUUUCGCUAGGGACGAAGCUGUUGUGACGGGACCUGGAGAAGAAGCACCGGCUAACUACGUG